GAAGCAAUUCAGGCAUGCCCUUGACGAUCACACAAACUUAGACAGCGGAAACGAAAGUAGACUUCGUUCUUUAGUAUUGGCUUUGCAGCACGAAAGAAAUCAAACAGCUCUUGUCUUCGGCAUGCUUCUAUCUCUGAUUUGACCAGGCGUCAAACGAAAACUUCUGAAACGUCUCAUUUGAAUUUGACGAGCAAUUGAGACUCAAAUAAGGCAGUGGAAUGUCUUCGGCAGCCGCUAAGGUGGUUGUGGUCUUGAUGGAGAGUUUAGCAGGCACAGGACACAGGCUCUUCAGAACGCGACCAAAAACAGCUGAGAAAUUGGAGUUUUUAUAUUUUGAUCCGUUUGUUCAGCAGAGAGUGCUCUACAAGGAAAAAAAGAGAGUGAAAACAUUAAAGUCCAAAUGAAAUCUGUUGUGUGUCUUAGUGAGAAAAUGAGUCAUGUGAGAAUGUUGCAUUACUUUUAGUUCCUGUGUUCAGGGUGUACAGAGUCCUUCUAAGAAAAUGUCUGAGAGCAUGUGAGUGAAAGAAAGUGCAAGUUCUUAUGUGUGUGGUUGUUCUAUGGGACUGAUGGCGGGAAAAUGAGCUGAUCUGUGUGCUGGGUAUAUUAGUCACAAUAGAUGAGACUGUCAUGUAUGAAAUUAUUAAUAAAUUUCUCACACUCACAUUCA